rnacentral:RNase_P_RNA from 1 species
GCGGACGGCUGGACGGCCGCGUGUCUUUCGAGGCGCGAGGAAAGUCCGGACUCCUACGAAGCAACGGUGCCGGGUAACGCCCGGCCGGGGAGACCCGAGGGAAAGCGCCACAGAGAACAGACGGCCUCGCAUGCGGGGUCACGGUGAAACGGUGCGGUAAGAGCGCACCGCGGUCUUGGCAACAAGGCUGGCACGGCAAGCCCCACCGGGAGCAAUGCCGAAUAGGGGUCUCACCAUGGGCAGCUUCGGCCCGAGACCCGGGUAGGCAGCUAGACCCUGUCGGCAACGGCAGGGCCAGAUGAAUGGUCGUCACCACUUUUUGGGGGACAGAAUCCGGCUUACAGGCCGUCCGCGCCU